rnacentral:rRNA from 1 species
GACGAACGCUGGCGGCGUGCCUAAUACAUGCAAGUCGAACGCACAGUUUAUACCGUAGCUUGCUACACCAUAGACUGUGAGUUGCGAACGGGUGAGUCACGCGUAGGUAACCUGCCUGGUAGCGGGGGAUAACUAUUGGAAACGAUAGCUAAUACCGCAUAAUAUUAAUUAUUGCAUGAUAAUUAAUUGAAAGGUGCAAUUGCACCACUACCAGAUGGACCUGCGUUGUAUUAGCUAGUAGGUGAGGUAACGGCUCACCUAGGCGACGAUACAUAGCCGACCUGGGAGGGUGAUCGGCCAAAAUGGGACUGAGACACGGCCCAGAAUCCUACGGGAGGCAGCAGUAGGGAAACAUCGGAAAUGGACGACAGUCUGACCGAGCAACGCCGCGUGAGUGAAGAAGGGUUUCGGAUCGUAAAGCUCCGUUGUAAGGGAAGAACGGGUGUGAGAGUGGAAAGUUCACACUGUGACGGUAUCUUACCAGAAAGGGACGGCUAACUACGUG